rnacentral:rRNA from 1 species
CACAGCCUACGGGGCGCAGCAGUGAGGAAUAUUGGUCAAUGGUCGGGAGACUGAACCAGCCAAGCCGCGUGAGGGAUGAAGGUACAGAGUAUCGUAAACCUCUUUUGUCAGGGAACAAAGGCGGGGACGUGUCCCCGGAUGAGUGUACCUGAAGAAAAAGCAUCGGCUAACUCCGUGCCAGCAGCCGCGGUAAUACGGAGGAUGCGAGCGUUAUCCGGAUUUAUUGGGUUUAAAAGGUGCGCAGGCGGUCUGUUAAGUCAGCGGUCAAAGCCCGGGGCCCACCC